rnacentral:rRNA from 1 species
GACAGAGGUGCCAAGCGUUAGGCGGAAUCACUGGGCUUAAAGCGUGUGUAGGCGGGUGCCUAAGUACCUUUUGAAAUCCCACGGCUCAACCGUGGAACUGCUGGGUAUACUGGUUGUCUUGAGCCAGCUAGGGGCGAGCGGAACAGACGGUGGAGCGGUGAAAUGCGUAGAUAUCGUCUGGAACGCCGAAGGUGAAAACAGCUCGCUGGGGCUGCGCUGACGCUGAGACACGAAAGCCAGGGGAGCGAACGGG